GUUGAUGGGACAGGUCGGUGAAACCUAAGUCUGUGAAAACAUGCUGUUCAGAGUCAUCCAAGAUCAGUGGGAAGACAAAAAAAGACAGGACGACUGGUGAUGGCCUGGGAUCCAGUGGAUGACCUCGGCAUCUUCAAUGUCUGACCAAGCUCUGAGUACUCUACAG
rnacentral:lncRNA from 1 species